rnacentral:tRNA from 2 species
GCCGAUGUGGUGGAAUUGGUAGACACGCCAUCUUGAGGGGGUGGUGGCCCUAGGCUGUGCCGGUUCGACUCCGGCCAUCGGCACCA